rnacentral:rRNA from 1 species
AGUGAACGCUGGCGGUAGGCCUAACACAUGCAAGUCGAACGGCAGCACAGUAAGAGCUUGCUCUUACGGGUGGCGAGUGGCGGACGGGUGAGGAAUACAUCGGAAUCUACUUUUUCGUGGGGGAUAACGUAGGGAAACUUACGCUAAUACCGCAUACGGCCUACGGGUGAAAGCAGGGGAUCUUCGGACCUUGCGCGAUUGAAUGAGCCGAUGUCGGAUUAGCUAGUUGGCGGGGUAAAGGCCCACCAAGGCGACGAUCCGUAGCUGGUCUGAGAGGAUGAUCAGCCACACUGGAACUGAGACACGGUCCAGACUCCUACGGGAGGCAGCAGUGGGGAAUAUUGGACAAUGGGCGCAAGCCUGAUCCAGCCAUACCGCGUGGGUGAAGAAGGCCUUCGGGUUGUAAAGCCCUUUUGUUGGGAAAGAAAAGCAGCAGGUUAAUACCCCGCUGUUCUGACGGUACCCAAAGAAUAAGCACCGACUAACUUCGUG